GACAAACGCUAGCGGCGUGCUUAACACAUGCAAGUCGAACGCUCUCUGGCAUUAGUCAGAGGGAGUGGCGGACGGGUGAGUAACACGUGGGUAACCUACCUCAAGGUGAGGAAUACCAACGAGAAAUCGUUGACAAUACCGCAUGAGCUUCUUCGGGAGCAAAGCUUCUCGUAUUGAGAGGCGCCUUGAGAUGGGCCUGCGCCUGAUUAUGCUAGUUGGUGGGGUAAAAGCUCACCAAGGCGACGAUCAGUAGCUGGUCUGAGAGGACGAUCAGCCACACUGGGAUUGAGAACGGCCCAGACUCCUACGGGAGGCAGCAGUGAGGAAUUUUCCGCAAUGGACGCAAGUCUGACGGAGCAACGCCGCGUGCAGGAGGAAGGUCUUCGGAUCGUAAACUGCUUUUAUCGAGGAAGAGAACGGACGGUACUCGAUGAAUAAGCCCGGCUAACUACGUGCCAGCAGCCGCGGUAAUACGUAGGGGGCGAGCGUUGUCCGGAUUUAUUGGGCGUAAAGGGCCCGCAGGCGGUCCGCCAAGUUUGGGGUGAAAGCUCCUCGCUUAACGAGGAGAGAGCCGCAAAAACUGGUGGACUUGAGAGCGAGAGAGGGACACGGAACUCCGGGUGAAGCAGUGAAAUGCGUAGAUAUCCGGAAGAACACCAAAGGCGAAGGCAGUGUCCUGGCUCGUAUCUGACGCUCAGGGGCGAAAGCCAGGGGAGCGAACGGGAUUAGAUACCCCGGUAGUCCUGGCCGUAAACGAUGACCACUCGACGCACGAAGAUUCGACCCUUUGUGUGUCUGAGCUAACGCGAUAAGUGGUCCGCCUGGGGAGUACGAUCGCAAGAUUAAAACUCAAAGGAAUUGACGGGGACCCGCACAAGCAGCGGAGCGUGUGGUUUAAUUCGAAGCAACGCGAAGAACCUUACCAGGGUUUGACAUGACCAGGAAGUCCAUCGAAAGGUGGGUCCCUCCGGGGUCUGGUCACAGGUGCUGCACGGCUGUCGUCAGCUCGUGCCGUGAGGUGUUGGGUUAAGUCCCGCAACGAGCGCAACCCUUGCCGUUAGUUGAAAUUAACUAGCAGGACUGCCACCCUUAAGGUGGAGGAAGGUGGGGAUGACGUCAAGUCAGCACGGCCCUGACGUCCUGGGCGACACACACGCUACAAUGGUCGGGACAGAGGGUUGCCAACCCGCGAGGGGGAGCCAAUCCCAGCAAACCCGAUCUCAGUUCGGAUUGGAGGCUGAAACUCGCCUCCAUGAAGAUGGAGUUGCUAGUAACCGUGAGUCAGCACAUCACGGUGAAUACGUUCCUGGGUCUUGUACAUACCGCCCGUCACACCACGAAAGUCGGCAACACCUGAAGCCGCUGGGCUAACCCUUCUUGAAAGGGAGGCAGGCGUCAAGGGCGGGGUCGGUGAUUGGGGUGAAGU
rnacentral:rRNA from 1 species